rnacentral:rRNA from 1 species
AUUGAACGCUGGCGGCAUGCCUUACACAUGCAAGUCGAACGGUAACAGGUCUUCGGAUGCUGACGAGUGGCGAACGGGUGAGUAAUACAUCGGAACGUGCCUAGUAGUGGGGGAUAACUACUCGAAAGAGUGGCUAAUACCGCAUGAGAUCUACGGAUGAAAGCAGGGGAUCGCAAGACCUUGUGCUACUAGAGCGGCCGAUGGCAGAUUAGGUAGUUGGUGGGAUAAAAGCUUACCAAGCCGACGAUCUGUAGCUGGUCUGAGAGGACGAUCGACAACACUGGGGCUGAGACACGGCCCCGACUCCUACGGGAGGCAGCAGUGGGGAAUUUGGGACAAUGGGCGCAAGCCUGAUCCAGCAAUGCCGCGUGCAGGAUGAAGGCCUUCGGGUUGUAAACUGCUUUUGUACGGAACGAAAAGCCCUGGGUUAAUACCCUGGGGUCAUGACGGUACCGUAAGAAUAAGCACCGGCUAACUACGUGCCAGCCGCCGCGGUAA